AAAGGUUCCUGUGUAGGAAGCUGGACGCAGCCUGCUGGACUAGUAAUCUUCCUCCUCGCUGGGGCGCGGGGCACUGAAGGGAGGGAGAGACUUUCUCCUCCUUCCUGUUCCCCGGGACAGCUGUGCUCUCCGAAUCCUUCCCUUCUUCCCAGCCCACUUAUUCCCCGCUCGCCAAGGCACGUUUGCACAGGCAUUUUUCCUGCUCUUUUUUCUGGGAGGGCAGCUUGGUAGAAUGGUCGGCGGAGCUGGGCGAGGAGAGGGGUCUUCAGAAGGUUUGCUUUCUUGCUCUUGCUUCUCACUGGCCGCUGGGCUGUCCACUUUCCGCGCCGGGCGACUGGCAACAGGAGGCCAUGGAUUUCCCCCAACGACAUCUUCAACUAAAGAUGUCAAAGCACAAGCUCACUUCCCACGGAAGGUAGCAAUUACUAUUAUCUACUUGACAGCUACAAGAACCUAGGCACAGAGGUUAAGUGCUCUGCAAAUACUACCAGCCAGUGGUGGUUUUCCUGCCAGAACCAAGUUCUUGCCUUCCAGUGGACACCAUUGAUCUCUCAAGAUGAUUCUUUAAGUUAAAAAUCAAGUUUGUCUCCACAGGCACGAAUCACAAAGGGCCUCAAAACCACAUUAAAAUUUAAGAUUGAUCUGCUCUUCUGCUUCUGAAUGUGAGAGCCUAUACUGGAUCUCUGAAGAAAAUAAAGAUGAGAUGAGGUUCUGAUCCCUUGGACUUCAUGAAGUUACGUGACAGAAAGUAUGAUUGUCUAGCCGAUACUUGACUGUGUGAAACCUUCAUCUACUCCGGAAUCCUGAGGCACAGACUCAGAGGCCCUCUGACUCACGAUUAGGGUUGUCAGGGUGAUGCAACAGCAAGACCAUAGCCUUUGGUGUCGGAAUACCAAGUUUUGAAGCUCAGUUUCCCCACUCACUAAUUUUCAGUGAGCACAUACAUAAUUUGAAAUCUGAAAAUGGACAAUAAUGCCUACCUACUUCAAAAUUUGGUUUGAGAAUCAAGUGAAAUAUUAAUAUAUAUGUAAGCAUUUUAUGAACAAGGAAGCAAGUUAUAAAUGCAUUAUCUUGUUAAUUUAGUCAUUUCACUAGGGGUGGGUCCAAUGUGGGCCUCCUUUGAGGUAGACUGUAUUUCAUGAAUUUAUAAUAAAAUUCUAAAGUUUAACAAAGACAGUACCUGGAAAAAUUACUUUUUCAUGUUUUUAUGUUUUGUGUCCACUCUGUUGCAGUAACAACACAGAUAUAAAAGGAUUUGAGUCUGUUUAUAGUAUUAAUCAGAUUCCCACUCUCAUUCAUAGUGAGAUUUUAAAACCUUUUCUUACACAUCUAAAGGAAAGUGUAUCUGACCCAGUGGUUUUUUCUUUACCCUGUCACUUUAUUUAGUAUGCCUCAUUAACAUCAAAUAAUAAGGUAUUUUAUUUGGGGUCUUCUCUCAUAGUACUAGAAAAUGCAAUUUUGCUAGAUGAAAUUGGUUUCAAUCCUAAAAAACUUAAUAUUUCUUUUCUUACAAAUAAAUGUUUAUACUUUUUUAUAACAUUCAUUUUCCAGAUAAUGUAGACUUGCUCAGAGAUAAUAUUGUAUCAGAAGAUUUAGAAGAGUAAUUUGUUGAGAAUAUAUAGAAUCAUCCUCAAAUA
rnacentral:lncRNA from 1 species